rnacentral:lncRNA from 1 species
AGACCAGCUUCAGCCCUUCUUGCUCUCCAUGGCAGAAGUCCUAGCAGAGUAUGCCCACGCUGGUUAGUGCUGCUGCAAAGAUGAGCCGAAGACCAUGAGAGACCUCCAGGUGGUCCUUCUGGGGAGAAGAAAUGGGUUUUGGCCCCAAAUCCUUCUGCUGCAUUUUUCCCCUAUCCCUGGGAAGCCAUGAGACCUCAAACCUGUGUUCCCAAGGAGGCGAGCUGCUGUUCCCAGGUGAUGAUAUGAUGUGCUUGGGGAAAGUAAGUGGCUGCCAGACAUGGCUGAGAGCUGUUGUCACUGCCGUCAAGUGCAUGUCUCCAAGCCAUAUCACACGGCGUCCCUCGAUGUGAGGCCACAUGGCAAGUGGGCCGUGGAUCUCCCUCUGCCCUUUGCAAGCACGUAAGACAGCAGAUUUUGCAGAUACCUUGUGGCGCAGGGGAAUUUCCUUUGGCCAGGUCUGAAGAAAUAAAGCAGCAGGCACCGAGAACAAAGCCAAGGCUUUCAAAAGACAAGGAGCCAAAAAACUUACUCAAAAUAAAAGUAGUUUUAAAAUGUC